rnacentral:tRNA from 1 species
GGCUCUAUAGUUUAGUGAUAAAAUUUAUGCUUAGGAUGCAUGCGUCGUUGGUUUAAUUCCAACUAGAGCCC